UUCUGAACAGCAAGAAGAAGAAAGAAGAGAGAAGAAGAAGAAGAGAAGAGAAGAAGAGAAGGGAAGAGGAGGAGGUUCGGCUAGAGAUUUCAGUCCUUAGGUUUUUGAUAGAGGGUUCAGCUGCAAGGAAUUUCAAAUAGCUGUGAGAGAGCUUGUUCUACACCAAGAGGAGAGAUAGUCGGUUUUGGUUUUCAUUAUGAGGAGAGCAGUCACCUACAAAAUUCUAGUUCUGAGCAUGAUGCUAUGGCUAUGGAUUAGUUGGCUUGUAUACAGGAUUUUGAUGAUCUCAGUCAUGGACCAGAUUGUGAGCGCGACGAGUGUGUCUAUGGUGGACAAUGUUUAUGAGAUCUGAUGUUUACAAUCGUUCUUUUGUGUACAUAUGGAUGGUUACAGCAAUCAGUUUUGGUCGAUCAGAUUACAGGUGGGAGACUUGUUAUGUUUGACAGGUGGGAGAUACAUUUUGUGUAAUUAAUAGGUGAGAGAGAGAUGUUAAUGAUAUGACAAGUGGGAGAUUCUUUUGUGUGUAUACUUGGAUAUAUGGAUUACUGUAAUAUAAUGGAUUACUGUAUAUAACAUUGUGGAUCAUUGUGAAUCUAAUAUCAGGUAUCACAUAGAUGCACUGGGUGAAUAUUAGCUUUAUUUGAUUUUAA